UACGUAGGGGGCAAGCGUUGUCCGGAUUUACUGGGCGUAAAGAGCGCGUAGGCGGAGAUCUAAGCGUGGCCUGAAAGCCCCCGGCUCAACCGGGGAGUGCGGCUGCGAACUGGGUUUCUUGAGGACGAUAGAGGAGAGUGGAAUUCCUGGUGUAGCGGUGAAAUGCGUAGAUAUCGGGAGGAACACCAGUGGCGAAGGCGACUACCUGGCCUGUUCUUGACGCUGAGGCGCGAAAGCUAGGGGAGCGAACGGG
rnacentral:rRNA from 1 species